rnacentral:tRNA from 1 species
GCCCGAGUGGCGGAACGGUAGACGCAGAGGAUUCAAAAUCCUCCGCCCUUGCGGGUGUGUGGGUUCGAAUCCCACCUCGGGCACCA